CCAACCCUGAGGGGCCAAGGGGCUCGUGGGUGCUCAGGCAGCCCCAGGGAGGGCCAAAGGAUGCUUGCUCCCUUGUAGCCAUCCCUGGGGCAGGCUGUGGUAUGUCCAGCCUGUGGAUCUGGAAACACUUGAAGAAGGAUCUCAGACCUGCAGGACCUGUUAUGGGAGAGAUGUUUCAAGCCCCUGUACUUGUUUCUGUCCUCUUGAUGUGUGUGUGAACAUUCUAGGGGUUUCAGCUGAAUCCUCACUCAUUUGGUGGGGUCCAUGGAUGCUUGGGUUGCUUGAGGCAGCAGACUUGGCUCCCUUGUCAUGGGCUGGGGCUGUUGGGCUUCACCUGCUCUGCAGAGCACUGGAGAGGGCUGGCAGGACCUUGGGAUCUUCCAGGCAGGGCGAGUGCCUGUCCUGCUCCUGGCAGGCGUUUGCCUGAGCUGUUCCUCCCCGGCACACCCAGUGCUGAGCUCCGGAUAUUACCGAGCACAUCCCUGACACCCCGCAUCCAGGAGUGCUCCCGAGUCUUGGCCUGGCAGAUCAGGUACCUCCCUUCCUUUUUGCAGGAUUGUUUCACAGUUGCAUCACAGCUGCAUACUUUUCUGUGCCCAUGUCUCUUCUCCCUGCCCUCAUCCCUUCUCGGUGCCCACGUCCUCUCUCUGUGAGCAUGUUCCUUCUCCAUGCCCACCUCUCCAACCCCGUUUCCUGUGGCUGCCGGAGGAUGACUCCGGGCUGAUGCAGAGCUGUCCAAAUCCAGCUCCUCAGUGACAUCUUGUGCUGGGAAUGCUCAGCGCAGGCAGGAGAUGGGAAAAUUAGUUCCUGCAAUUGUUUUUUCCUGCCCUCCCCAACACUGACAUUGCUGUAACCGGCAGUGAAACCACGGGGACUCCCUGAGCUCAUUUGUAAGGUUUUCCUUGGGAACAUCUUGUCCUUCCACGGAGACAGCCAGGCAGUGGCAUUGCCUCUGACAGAACUGUGUACAAAGCUCUGGCAAAGCAUCCACUUCCUUCAAAACAUUCCCUGUGCUAACUCUUUUGUGCCAUUUAGAGAUAAUAAUAAUUCACCCAAAGUUCCUCGCCGUGAUGAGACUGCACACACGAAUUCUUGGGAUGCAGUUCAAACCAUGUUUCUCUGCCAAUUGCUGCAGAGAGAAUUCCCUUCAAAGGCUCUAAUGGCACCAAUCACCCCUGGGAAACACUCGCCUUGUCUUAGCAGGGAAAGCUUCCAAGUGCUGCCUGCUGUGCCAGCAGAGCUGCAGCCCUGCAGCAUCCAGCUGGGUGCAAAACCAGGUCUGAGUUUCUGAAGAAACUUUAAUCUCAGACCCAAACUCAGAGAUGAAAUGUUAAAAAGCCACUUUUGAUGGAAGUGAAAUCUGAUGAGGUUUCUCUCAGGAUGGUAGUACCUGAAGCACAGAAAAUCCCCGAGCUGGCAGCCCUGCCAGUGGCAGGGAGACCAACAAGGGAUGCUCCAAGCUGCCGUGGGGACUGUACCAAGCCCUCGUGGAUCACUGUGGCCUUGCAGAGUGCUGAUCCCCCAGCUCCCAAUCUCCCUUGGGUGUGACAUUAUGCCCUUGAGGCCACUGUCCCUGUUCCCACCAAGUCCAGGCAGGGGCUGCUGGCACAGAGGGGCUGGUCCCUGCUCACGGUGGCUGCAGCUGGCAUGGGAAGCUCAGUCCAGCCCGUGGCUGGAACGCACAUCACAGACACAGACAUGCUGCUAUGUUCCACACGGGGAGCACGGCCAGGGCUGGAUAACACACGGCCAAGUCCUUCCUCGGGCACUCUCGGGCACUGCAGCAGCAAUGGAAAUAAAUCCAGGAGAAGCUGUUAUGGAUGCUUGAGAAGCUGUAAAAUGUGAAGAAACAUUUGAAUGUGAAACAAAGAGGUGAGAAGGGAAUUUGGCACAGGAGGAGAUGUAGUUUAGAAGGAGAGGCCAUGCCAUGCAUAUUUCAUGGGCCAGCCCUCAGCAGAGGCUCCUCUGACACCACAAACAUCACAGAUGGCAAGCAGUAACAGCAGCUGCUCCCAGCAUCUGGGAAGGAGAAUGGUGAGAUGAUCGCUCCUCCUGCCUUGUGGUAGAAGUGGGCCAAGGACACAGGACCUGGAAGCUGCUGGCUCUGCUCCCCAGGUGUGGGACCAGCCUUCCUCACCCUCCUCUUCCUCCAGCCCAGUGCCAGGCUAGGGGGAAGCCUGCCCCAUCCUUGGUGCUGGGGCUGUGUCCUCACUCUCCCACAGCUCUGUGAGCCCUCCAGCCCUGCUGCCCCAGCACUCUGUGCUUCCAGCAUUGCUCCUCUGAGGUUUCCUUGGAAAGUGCUGAUCAGGUCCUCCUCUGUCAGGUGUUUCUCACUGACCAUAUGCCUGACUUGUGCCCAGCACCUGCGCUACCAAAUCACUCCCACCGCAGGCCAGCAUGCAGGAGGGACAUCUGCACCCUGUGGGAGCAGGGUGGAUCCUCAGCUGGCAUCUGGCCCUGCCAUAGGUGCCCCUUGGAGCAGCAGGUGCUGGGGUGGCAGGAGCUGGGUGGGUCAGAGUCUGAUGUGGAUCCACUAGCAAAACCCAGGAGAAGGUGGACUUCAGGACAGUGCUUCCCAAAUUGCAGCCAUGUGUGGGUUCUCAUCUUGUUAUUUUUCUUCACAAGAGGCUUCAUCUCCCUCUGUGCAACUCUUCAGGGAGAACUCCAGAUCUACUACUGCCUACUCUGAAGGGAUAAACCCCUGUGGGGUGCACAGGAGCUCCCAGCCUCAGGAUGGGGUGUGUUUGGAUAAUGAGUGGGUUCUCUUUGACUCCGCCCAAGCACCCUGUCUGCCUCGGUGUCAUCCUCCUGGGGGUGAAUCUGACUUGUGCCACAUAUGGACCACAAUGUGACAGCAGCAUGGAGGAACCAGCCUUCCUUCUCACAGCUGGAGAACCAGGGAACUGCAUCCUUCCCCUUGCAGAGGUGCUGCAGAGGCUGCAGGAGGUUCAGCUGCUCCAGCAGGAUUGGGGUGAUCCCUAUCCAGGUGUGGCACAGGCAGAGAGUCCUUCUCUUUUUCCAUCCACUGGCAGAAGGGAGUCAUGUGAGAUGUCUACAAGUGUGCUUGGGGGAAAAGGAACACCGGUGAAGACCUGAAACAAUUUUGCUGCUCUUACAGCUGAGAAAGAAUCAUGCUGGAAGGUUUCUGUGGAAGUGAGGCCUGGGGAAUGGACAUGAAAAGCCUUUUUUCCCAGCUGACUCUCUUGGUGGGUGAGUUGUUUACAGAGCCUGGAUGCCAGAGGGCCUGGAAGGGAGCCAGCUCUAUUUUAACCCUUUGUAAAUGAUUUAAACACCUCGUGCUGGGGGAACAUUCCCAGGAAAGGGGAUGCUUGGCUCUUCUUCCUGGGCAGACCAGGGGUGUGCAGGAGAUGGUGGGAGGCAGAAGGAGCCAGUCCUGGUAGGGACAGCAGGAGUGUGUGGUGAGGAUGGCUGUGCCCCUCCUGUCCCCCAGGAGCUGCUGCUGAGACCUGAACCAGCUGCUCCUAGUCCAGCUGGCCAGAGGCAUCCUCCCAAACCCCUCCCAGAUGAUGUUCCUAAGGAGCCUCUCUAUUUUUUGCAGCCUUUUCCUGCCAGGAGCAUCCCCUGGGAAGGCCAAUGUAGCCAAAGGUCCCGGGUGCCCUGUGGGAUCCUGGCGAGGUGGGGACAUGGGGCAGAGCUCCCUGCAGCAUCUUGGGGGCAAGCACACAUCAUGGGACUGGGGACAAGCUCCUGAAGCUGGAGCAGGGCAACUCCAACCCCCCUUACCCCUGAGGAGCUGGCUGAUCCUUAUUGAUUAAUCUGGUGGCUCAUUUCUCUAAAAAUAGGCUCUUAAUUACUGAGCCUCUGGAAACAGAGUUGUCUCACAGCAAAACCUGAUUGAUUGGAGGGCAGCUGUGGCUCUGGUGAGGGCCUGUUGGCCACAGAACCUGGAUGGCCCCUGCCAGAGACAGCUCCUGGCCAGAGGAGGUUUCAGGCUGGUUCAGGUUGAUUCCCAGCUCACAGCUGAUGGAUAUUUGUUUUUUUUUCCAAGUGUGACUUGUUUUUGCUUCUUAACUUUCUGUGUAUGUAAUUGCAAGCAUGUGGCACUGAGAGGCACUUGGACUUCUCUUCUGGUGGAAGUAAAUGGGAGGAAAAAUGUUCAUUUUUCCCUAGUGCUCCUGAACUGUGUGUAGAAAAGGGAAAAGCUGUUCUGCUUGCUUUUUUUUUUUUUUUUUUUUUUUUGGUAUUGUUUUCCACCUUCUUCCUUUGCAUGGACAAAUACUUUAUGGGAACUUUCCUGCUUUUCCCUUAUUCACCUGUCCCAGAGAAGGUGUGCAAGAUCCCAAAAAGGCUGAAAAGAGGAAAAAAAAAAAAAGAAAAUAGAGUUUAAAAUAGAUUUAUUUUCUGGGGCUGUUUCAUGUCUCUGAGUUUGGGUUCUUGUGUCAGGAGUGUAUUGUCAUGUCCUGGAGAUGGAGAGGGAGUAUUCCAGAGCCCUGGGGUCCCCCACCCUUCACAAGCACCACAACCUCUGUGUAGCUGAGUCAAAUUAAGGAGAAAAAGGGAAGAGUGGCUGCAGUAGCUGGCUACCAGCACUGGCCCUGCCUUCCUCCCUGGCCAGUGUGAAGGCCAUCUGUCACCUGACAGAUCAGCUGGACUCUGCUCUCCAUGUCCAUCUGCUCCUGUGCAGGUUCCCUGUCUGCUGUAUCUCCCUCCUGCUCCAUGGCCCCUGUGGGCUCUGUCCUAUGAUCCGAGCCAGUCCCUGCCCCAGAGCUGGGAUGGGCUGUCACCAGAUGACACAAGGAAAAACGACGCAGCACAGCCUUGGUCACAAUGAAGAGACUAAUUUCUUUUCUCUGACUCCAAUCUUUUAUAGUUCUCAAAAGAUGCCAGUGGAUUGGAGGGUGAACGUGCCACCUCUCCAACGACACUGGACAAACUACCUGUACAUCAAAUUUCUCCGCCUCUAUGAAAGAAUGCAAAACAAUAGGUUAUUUACAGAAAGUUGUGUGGGAAAGUUCUCUACAAGAAUGUAAACUCAGAAGGCUUUAGAAAACUCUUGAAAAUCAGGGCGACAAUGGGCACCACGGGAUUCUCCGAGAGCCCUGAACAUCCAAACCCACAGGUCCUUGCUCACUGCAUGGGCUGUAGAUCCUUGCUGACCUACUCAUAGUUUUUUUUUACCCUUUAUAUUUUUUUUUUCAAGGCUGAAUCUUUCACUCUGGUGGUUGUGUGGCUUCAUUUUGCUCAUUCAAAGUUUCUUCCAGUUGAAGUUUUAUGGGUAAUCUUUUAAUUCUUUGCCCAAGGAAGUAUCAAAGGGAGCAUCCCUCCUCAGAGGGAUUCAAGCCAUGGCACCCACAGGGGAGGCUCACCUUGCUGAGCCCCAUUCCUGCUGUCCCACAGCUGUGACAGCCACCCUAGAACAGGGGAGAACACAGGACAGAGCUCCUCCAGAGCUCAGGAAAAAGGGACAGCCAGGGGACACUGGGCCUGGGACAGCAGUGCUGGCAGCUGUCACCAGAACUCACACCUUGACUCUGUGAGAGCUCCAAUAAUGUUUCACCAUCACCAGCCAAAUUUCCCCAGAUUUUCUGGGGAUAGGAGAAGGCAACACUCCCAAGUCCCUGCUCCUCAAGCUGGCAACAUGACAGCUUUCCACUGGAAUGACAGAAUUUUUUUUUCUUAAUGCAGGCCAAAGUAAUUUUCUCUCAUUAGAGCUGCUGAUACAGAUGGAAAAAGUUAGCUCUCUCUCCAAAGCUUCGUCUGCCAGUGAGGGGCAGCAUCCCCCAGGAAGAUCUUGGGGUGUUUGGCUGCUCCAGCUUCUCGUCCCUCUGGCUGUGGCUCUUUGCACUGGAACUUGGAAAGAAAAAAUAUUCUGGGAUGGAAAAUUUCAAGCCUAAAGGGUAAAGUUGGACAAAAUCCAAUCCAGGUGAGAUUUGGCAGAGAGACCCAGCAAAGGUUGUUCCAUUUUUGCUUUGUGCUUUGGAGAGCCUCCCUGCAGCUCUGCUCCAGCCAGGUCAGGCUCUGCUCUUGUAAGAGGAGAUGUUAACACCACCGCGUGUGUCUUUCUCUUUUUUUUUUUUUUUUUUCUCUGGAGCUGUGACUAUUUCAGAAGCAGAUGCUGCAUCCCAUGGGCAUGGGUGUCCCAUCAACCCACCCCACUCCCAGAGGUGGCCCAGAGGCUUUGAUCCUCUGGCUGCUUGUCCACAGCAGACACUGCACAUCUGUGGUAGCACCAGAACACCCUGACACAGCCCAGAUAAAUCACCUGAUGGAAAUGAGGAGCUGGGAUCUUGUGGAAACUCUGGUUACUGGAAACCAAAAGGAGAGAGGAACUCAGUAUCUGUGCUGCCUCUGGGGUGCACGUAAGGGUGCUUUGAACGAGGGACGUGCUAGAGACUGCUGUGACUCCUUCUCCCUCCUGUGACUUCUUCCACUCAGGUCUUGCCAGAGUGUGCCAACCCAUCCCUGCAAGGUUGGAGGAGCUCUGCAGAAGGACCUUCAUGGGCUGUGCUGAGUCCUGGGCUCCUCUGCACCAGGAAGGACCCCAUGGCACUCCUUGGGGGCACCAUGAGUCACUGAGAAAAUCCCCAGGUGCUGAGGCCAAAGACCUCAAAAUUCACCUGUGAAGAAAUAAGAAGAUUAGAUCUGACUCAUUCCAAGGGUUUAAACCAUUUUUCUAUUACUAAAAAGAUGUCUUUAUGCUCUAGGUAUUUAAAAAAAAAAAAAAAAAAAAAAAAAAAAAUACAGCAAAUCCAAGGUAAAAAAUCCAAUUUGAAGAUGAGAGAUGAAUCUGCUUUGCCAUAAAUUUGGAGAAGUCAUCACCAAAUUUGAUGUGGGGUUGCUGUCCUCUCCUUCCCUCCAGGAAGCACUGUGGCAUCUCCUUUCCCCUGGAUUUUGGAGAGAACAGAUUUGUGUUUCCUACCCAGAAACAGAAAUAAAGCUCCAAAAAACUGUC